CCUACGGGGCGCACCAGGCGCGAAACCUUCGCAAUGUGCGAAAGCACGACGAGGUUAUUCCGAGUGAUUUCCGCUGAGGAAAUCUUUUCUCAGAUCUAAAAAGUCUGGGGAAUAAGGGGAGGGCAAGUCUGGUGUCAGCCGCCGCGGUAAUACCAGCUCCUCGAGUGGUCAGGGCGUUUAUUGGGCCUAAAGCAUCCGUAGCCGGCUCAGUUGGUCUCCUGUUAAAUCCAGCGGCUCAACCGUUGGUCUGCAGGAGAUACCGCUGGGCUAGGAGGCGGGAGAGGCGGACGGUACUCCGAGGGUAGGGGUAAAAUCCUUUGAUCCCCGGAAGACCACCAGUGGCGAAGGCGGUCCGCCAGAACGCGCUCGACGGUGAGGGAUGAAAGCUGGGGGAGCGAACCGGAUUAGAUACCCGGGUAGUCCCAGCCGUAAACGAUGCGAGCUAGGUGACACAACGCCUUCGGGGCGUUGUGGUGCCGCAGGGAAGCCGUUAAGCUCGCCGCCUGGGGAGUACGGACGCAAGUCUGAAACUUAAAGGAAUUGGCGGGGGAGCACCACAAGGGGUGAAGCCUGCGGUUCAAUUGGAGUUAACGCCGGGAAUCUUACCGGGAGCGACAGCAGAUUGUAGGUCAAGCUGAAGACUUUUACCAGACGAGCUGAGAGGAGGUGCAUGGCCGUCGCCAGCUCGUGUCGUGAGGGCGUUCU
rnacentral:rRNA from 1 species